rnacentral:sRNA from 1 species
CAGAUUCAGGUUAAAUUGCGGAUUGAGCUCGCAGUUACAGACAGCUGACCAUGGAAGCGAACGGGUUAGGCCUCCAGCCUAGCAUACUGACACCUACCCCCACCCCAACCUGAUCGCCAGACCUCAGGGUUUUCCAGAGCUGAAGAAUGACACAUUCCUGCGAGCAGCCUGGGGAGAGGAAACAGACUACACUCCCGUUUGGUGCAUGCGCCAGGCAGGCCGUUACUUACCAGAGUUUAGGGAAACCCGGGCUGCCCAGGACUUUUUCAGCACGUGUCGCUCUCCUGAGGCCUGCUGUGAACUGACUCUGCAGGUGAGGGGUCCACAAAAGAGGGAAAGAUUUAUGCCUUCAGUCUUCCACCUAGCAACCUGUCUCCUGUUUCCUACAGCCACUGCGUCGCUUCCCUCUGGAUGCUGCCAUCAUUUUCUCCGACAUCCUUGUUGUACCCCAGAUGUUUUCUCCUUCUCCAGGCACUGGGCAUGGAGGUGACCAUGGUACCUGGCAAAGGACCCAGCUUCCCAGAGCCAUUAAGAGAAGAGCAGGACCUAGAAUGCCUACGGGAUCCAGAAGUGGUAGCCUCUGAGCUAGACUAUGUGUUCCAAGCCAUCACCCUUACCCGACAACGACUGGCUGGACGUGUGCCGCUGAUUGGCUUUGCUGGUGCCCCAUGGACCCUGAUGACAUACAUGGUUGAGGGUGGUGGCUCAAGCACCAUGGCUCAGGCCAAGCGCUGGCUCUAUCAGAGACCUCAGGCUAGUCACCAGCUGCUUCGCAUCCUCACUGAUGCUCUGGUCCCAUAUCUGGUAGGACAAGUGGCGGCUGGUGCCCAGGCAUUGCAGCUGUUUGAGUCCCAUGCAGGGCAUCUUGGCCCACAGCUCUUCAGCAAGUUUGCACUGCCCUACAUCCGUGAUGUGGCCAAGCAAGUGAAGGCCAGGUUGCGGGAGGCAGGUCUGGCACCA